GGGCCCGCACAAGCGGUGGAGUAUGUGGUUUAAUUCGAUGCAACGCGAAGAACCUUACCAGGGUUUGACAUCCUGCGAAUCUCUUGGAAACAGGAGAGUGCCUUCGGGAACGCAGUGACAGGUGGUGCAUGGCUGUCGUCAGCUCGUGUCGUGAGAUGUUGGGUUAAGUCCCGCAACGAGCGCAACCCACGUCUUUAGUUGCCAGCAUUUAGUUGGGCACUCUAGAGAGCUGCCGGUGAUAAACCGGAGGAAGGUGUGGAUGACGUCAAGUCAUCAUGCCCCUUACAUCCUGGGCUACACACGUACUACAAUGCUACGGACAAAGGGCAGCAAGUUCGCGAGGACAAGCAAAUCCCAUAAAGCCAGUCUCAGUUCGGAUUGGAGUCUGCAACUCGACUCCAUGAAGCUGGAGUUGCUAG
rnacentral:rRNA from 1 species